AAAACGACUCUCGGCAACGGAUAUCUCGGCUCUCGCAUCGAUGAAGAACGUAGCGAAAUGCGAUACUUGGUGUGAAUUGCAGAAUCCCGUGAACCAUCGAGUCUUUGAACGCAAGUUGCGCCCGAAGCCAUCUGGCCGAGGGCACGUCUGCCUGGGCGUCAA
rnacentral:rRNA from 1 species